rnacentral:rRNA from 1 species
AGAGUUUGAUCAUGGCUCAGAACGAACGCUGGCGGCGUGGAUAAGACAUGCAAGUCGAGCGCGACUUAUUCUGUAGCAAUACAGGGUAAGUUGAGCGGCGCAAGGGUGCGUAACACGUGGGCAAUUUGCCAUAAAGUUGGGGAUAACUUGCUGAAAGGCGAGCUAAUACCGAAUGUGGUUGUCGGAAGGCAUCUUCUGAUUACUAAAGUUGGGGAUCGUAAGACCUGACGCUUUAUGAUGAGCCCGCGGCCUAUCAGCUAGUUGGUGAGGUAACGGCUCACCAAGGCUAAGACGGGUAGCUGGUCUGAGAGGACGACCAGCCACACUGGAACUGAGACACGGUCCAGACACCUACGGGUGGCAGCAGUCGAGAAUUUUUCUCAAUGGGGGAAACCCUGAAGGAGCGACGCCGCGUGGGGGAUGAAUGGCUUCGGCCCGUAAACCCCUGUCAUUUGCGAACAAACCUUACCGGUUAAUAACCGGUGAGCUGAUUGUAGCGAAAGAGGAAGGGACGGCUAACUCUGUGCCAGCAGCCGCGGUAAUACAGAGGUCCCAAGUGUUGUUCGGAUUCACUGGGCGUAAAGGGUGCGUAGGUGGCCGGGUAAGUCUGAUGUGAAAUCUCCGAGCUCAACUCGGAAAUGGCAUUGGAAACUAUCCGGCUGGAGGAGUGGAGGGGGGACUGGAAUACUUGGUGUAGCAGUGAAAUGCGUAGAUAUCAAGUGGAACACCAGUGGCGAAGGCGAGUCCCUGGACACUUCCUGACACUGAGGCACGAAAGCUAGGGGAGCAAACAGGAUUAGAUACCCUAGUAGUCC